rnacentral:lncRNA from 10 species
UGCCUCAGUCUCCAACAAUGGUCAUUUCCACUGCUGCCCACUGAGGAGUGCCACUGGAGAUGAUCUCACAACAAAGAGAGGGGGAGAGGUCAGGAACUAACAUCUAUUUUGUAGUUACCACUGUGGUAUGGUUUGCAACAUGGCUCUGUAACCCUCAGGAUCCCUACCAGAUAUUUUCAUCUAUUCCCUUAUUCUCCUCAGGUCCCUGGCCCUCCCCUUUCCUCUGUGCUCUCAGCAGCUGACCUUGUCUUUUCCUUUACUGAGAGUAGAGGCACCUCUUACAAAUACUCUGGCCUCUGCCUGGACUGACUGGGCUAAAUUGUCUCCGAAGAUGGCCACCAACCAUUCCUCCCACCUGUCUGCAUGCAGGCUGCUCCUCCCGUCAGAAGAUGGAGACUGCUUCCUUGCCCUUCAAUCCAAGCUGGCUCAUGACUUGCUUCAAUGAAUAGGAAAUGGCAGAAGUGAUGCUCUGAGGCUUCUGGGCCUAGACUUUAAGAGGUGUUGCCCCUUUCCUUUUUCCCUCUUGGGAUCCAGCCUACCACAUAGAGAAGUUUGGGUUGACAACUAAAUGUGAGAGAGAGACAGACAGAGAGAAGAGGGAGAGCUGAUUCAGCUAGACCUUAGUCAUUCCAGCCAUCCUAGCUGAAGCACUAGCAUGUGAAAGAAGCCACCUUCUAACCUAUCAAUCAGAGCCCCCAAUUUUACUGACCUCAGUCAACACCAUGUGGAACAGAACUACCCCAGGGAGCCCAACCAACCCAUACAAUCAUGAGAAAUUAAAAACUGAUGUUGUAGCCUCCUGAGUUUUAAGGUAGUUUGUUACACAAAAAUACUGGAAUUUUGACCCACCUUCACCUCCAAUGCCAACCUAGUAAACCUGGAUAUAUCUUUCAAAAUUUGGCUCAAGUGUCAACUCUUUCAUGAACCCUCUGUAUCCUUUUCUUGCUCAUUCAAGCCCUAUUUUCUCUUCUCCUCCCCAAAAUUCCAUAGUACUUUGUAUUACAAACUAUGUGCUUACAACCCCCAAAGUCUCUGGGCAUCCAGAAGGCAGAGAUUUGGCUUAAUUCAUUUUUGCCUCUGCCUAGCCUAACACCCGGCACAUUUAGAUAUUUAGUUAUUGUUUGCUGAAUGAAUGGAUGCAUGAAGAAGAAAAUUUAACAGAUGAUAUCUACAGGCACAUCUG